CCCUCCUCUGUAUUUCUUCUGUUUAGUGAUGCUGUCCUUGAUGCCUUGCGUCUGUAAGGAUGUGCAGAAGCAUACCUAGGGCCACACUGCCUGUUCUUCACUCCCUCUGCUGCUGUUCCAGGAAACCUAACGAGAAGCUACCAACCUUCUCCUACAUCUGUUUUCCCAAUCCUAGGAACCCCAGUAGCGAUUCCUGGCAGAGACAAAAGCCAGAAUUUCCAGGAGCACUGACAGUUUUGGAAAACUAGCAAGGAAUGGCAAGGAGGGAGGCAGGACGGCCAUAAUGAAAUAACACAUAUGUACAGUGGCUGUCUUCUCGUCACGUGAUAAUCCUCAUUGACAUGUUUGAGACUUGGCGCAGAAGGUAGAUGUUUCUUCCCUUUUUUUUUUUUUUUUUUUUUUUAAAUACUGAAAGGCAGAGAGAACAGCUACUCAGGUGGUUGUGGUGGGUUCGAAGACCUCAAAUGGUCCCCUCUCUAG
rnacentral:lncRNA from 12 species